UUUGGGUUGAAAUAUGAUGAAUGCUGAAAACUUGAUGGAAUUGUGAAGAUUACAAGAUCCAACUCUGAUUUCACCCAAAG
ensembl:snoRNA small nucleolar RNA, C/D box 19B